UCCGUGUUAACCACGGCAGUCUCUUUAGAGAGCCCAACUGAAUGCUGGCAACUAAAGACAAGGGUUGCGCUCGUUGCGGGACUUAACCCAACAUGUCACCACACGAGCUGACGACAGCCAUGCAGCACCUGUCACUUUGUCGUAUUGCUACGAAAGCCGUAUCUCUACGGAUGUCAAAGGAUGUCAAACCCAGGUAAGGUUCUUCGCGUUGCUUCGAAUUAAACCACAUGAUCCACCGCUUGUGCGGGCCCCCGUCAAUUCCUUUGAGUUUUAGUCUUGCGACCGUACUUCCCAGGCGGGGUACUUAGUGCGUUAGCGCCGGUUCGGCGGGGGUCAAGACCCACCAAACCUAGUACCCAUCGUUUACGGCGUGGACUAC
rnacentral:misc_RNA from 1 species